rnacentral:rRNA from 1 species
UGNGCACNCCGCGUGAGGGAUGACGGCCUUCGGGUUGUNAACCUCUUUCAGUAGGGAAGAAGCGAAAGUGACGGUACCUGCAGAAGAAGCGCCGGCUAACUACGUGCCAGCAGCCGCGGUAAUACGUAGGGCGCAAGCGUUAUCCGGAAUUAUUGGGCGUAAAGAGCUCGUAGGCGGUUUGUCGCGUCUGCCGUGAAAGUCCGGGGCUCAACUCCGGAUCUGCGGUGGGUACGGGCAGACUAGAGUGAUGUAGGGGAGACUGGAAUUCCUGGUGUAGCGGUGAAAUGCGCAGAUAUCAGGAGGAACACCGAUGGCGAAGGCAGGUCUCUGGGCAUUAACUGACGCUGAGGAGCGAAAGCAUGGGGAGCGAACAGGAUUAGAUACCCUGGUAGUCCAUGCCGUAAACGUUGGGCACUAGGUGUGGGGGACAUUCCACGUUUUCCGCGCCGUAGCUAACGCAUUAAGUGCCCCGCCUGGGGAGUACGGCCGCAAGGCUAAAACUCAAAGAAAUUGACGGA